rnacentral:lncRNA from 1 species
CUGAUUUGGAGAGUCGGAUAAUUUAGGUUGCUCGAGACGAUCCGCUUUUUUGGGUCCUUGAUGCCGAAGCUACAAAGAUAUGCAGCGUAGUCUGAGUACGAUGCAUCGUACACAAGGCCGGGGUCGGCCACUCUCUGCGGCAUCAGGUGGCCGGCUCCCAAUGCGAAGGGAGUGGCGAGAGUGCCUGCUGCAUCGGUUAUGGGCCUGCCCCUGUUGUCCAAUUGAAAAGCUGCAAUAUGAGAGACAUUAAAGGGUUAGGCAAUACUAAUUUUCGUCAUCGCGAGGUCAGUUGAAGGCAAUGCUCGACAUGAUCAGACAUGAAUGAGACACAAUCCCCAACAUGAAUGUUAGAAAAAGAACUUAAUGGUGACACAACACGGUUCAACAACCUUAAUCUGUAUACUCUUUAUCAACAUGAAUCAACACAUUUUCAUCCUUGGUGAAUCUUUUGAUGGUCAGCAUUUGUAAACACGGUAAGAGCAGAUUGAGUCACGAACUGUCAGCCCUGAUUGUACCUUAAAAAUGAGAUCUUGAGAUGUUUUACCUGUAGUCAUAAGGGCAGAUCUGAUAGCUGCACUGCUCCAUUUUGGAUGAAUGGCUUUGAGGAGAGCGGCCGUGGCGGCCACAUGAGGGCACGACAUCGAAGUCCCCGAGUCAAAGUUGUACUUCACGAUUCGAGGAUCGCUUUCCAACUUCGUUGGCGAAUCUGCCUCACUCCACGCUGCCAAUAUAUUCACUCCCGGGGCUGAGAUGUCAGGCUGAGCAGAAGAAAAAAAAUUGGUAAUGCAAUAAGUUAGCAAUGUCAUCGUGAUUUUUCACAGUAUUCUUCCUCGUCGUGAAAGAGGGAAAACAAUGCUGGGAAACUAUACCUUGAGAAUAUCGGGGUCGAUGACAUUCGGACCUCGACUCGUUAAUGCAGCUAUGGCGGGAGCGGGCUUAGUGUACAGGACGGUUCUUGCUGGUACUAUUCUCGCCGUCGGACUCUUGGUAGAUCGGAUGUAGUCAUAAAUCCGAGUGGCGUCGUAAUGAGUCACGGCAGUCGCUGGAAGAACGUGGGCGUCACAUGUCAGGUCAGCUCCGUCGGCUGGGCUGUUACCCAAUAUGAAUCCGGCACCGCCAGCUCUCCUCACUUCCAUGCCUUUGCCGACUCUCGGCCCGUUCCCACUAAUGCACAGCACUAUCUUCCCCCUCACCUUCUUUGGAUUGAGGGAAUUUGGAAGGCAUUGACUGCAAAGAAUACCCAUAUUAGCAAGAUUAAUUAGCAACUAAUCCAAAUUUUAGGUAAAAACAAUCAGAAUUUUUCUAAAAAUGAACGAUUAAUCACCCUGAGUCCUCCUUGGAUACGUUUGGGGCUACUGCAUCUCCAGCAUAAAUUAGUGGAUACAUCUUGUUGGAGUGAUAUGGAGUGACUGUUUGUCCCUGUGCAAAUGAGUUUUUAGCAUAUGUUGAGCAGCAUUUGGAAAUAUUAUCAGUGUAUAGAUUGAGAGAUUGGAGUAUUUAAUAGUUGUGCUACAUAUACAGAACUAUCAAACAUAUAAGUGAUUUAAUUUUCACCUCGAUCGACAUCCCGUUUCCUAACUCUACCGGUGCGACAAAAGUUCGGUCGAUGGUGCUGGCACCGACGGUGAUGAUCCAUGGAGCAGGGUUUGAUAGGGUCCCCGGAGCAGGCCCGUUGUUUCCUGCGGAGCACACCACAACAAUGUUGCUUUUGGCCGCAUAAAAUGCCCCUAGGGCUAUGUUGUCCUGGUGGUAUGGCAAGGGCCGCCUGGUGCCAAUUGAGAUGCUCAUUACGUCGAUGCCGUCGCCAAUGGCGUCGUCCAUGGCAGCCAACAUGUCCUCCUCAAAGCACUUGUUACCAUCGACUUUGGAUACGUUAGGGAUCGCCCAACACGCUUUGUAGAUGGCCAGGUGGACAAGCGCUGCGCCACCAGAUGCGGUGCCGUGGGCGAAGCCGCCAAGGGCAGAGACGUUAGCCACCCUCCGGCCUCCAACGGUGGAUGCCGUGUGAGUCCCAUGGCCAUCUCUAUCGUGUGGUGAUCGAUAGUCUAGUGUGGUGUUAAGAGGACCAAAGUGGGUCUCAUAGCCCUUGACAUAGAAUCUAGCUCUGAUAAGCUUCCUACAAUUUCAUUACAGUUUAACUAUUACUUUUGAGACAUAAGUUGUAUCUUUUCAAAAUUAAAAAAAAAAAAAAAUACUAAGCACUUCAAUACCAAUUUAUAAAAUCGGUUAAAUUAUUACUUUUGAGACAUGGGUUGUAUCUUUCAAAAUUAAAAAGAAAAAUGUAAGCACUUCAAUACCUAUAAAAUUGUUUUAUCAUAUGUGUUGUACAUCGCAAGUCGUCAGUUAAUUAAGUUAGCUAUAUCCAUCUCCUAACAAUAAUUUGCCACAUCAUUUAUUAUAUUGGUCUUACUGAGAUGUAUUGAUGAAAUCAAUCACAACAUAAACUCUCUCUCUCUCUCUUCAUCGCAUAUAAAAUCCUUGAAAAGACUGGCCAUUAUUAUUAUUCAUAAUGCAAAGGAAACUCGCCAGAUGGAGGGAAAGGUCACAGGAUGGCAAUCGCAAAGGACCAAAAUCUAUAAUUUACUCCAUUUUGUCACAUUGUUUGUUGCAUGUUUCCAACUAGACAAACCGAAGUUAUAGCCAACAUAAUGUCCGAAGCCCUAUCCCCACCAAUCCGACGAAGAAUUUUGCAAGACGACAGGGUGGGUAGCCUGUAGGGCAUGGUGAAAGCCUUGUACAGGCAUGGCGUUUUCGAUAAAGUUAAGAAAUUGACAGUAGAAUAUCGGGAAAAAAAAGAAAUAAUUAAGAUUUGGGGGCUAGAAGAUAGGAGGUCAAACAAUAAAAUCUGGGAUUCCAGCACGACGUUAAGUGUUCUAGUUUUACGCCAUGCUCUAAAAAAUCCUCACGUGAUAGUUUUAUAAAGAUAAUUAGGUUGUGUUUUUUCAAAACUUGAAAUCAGAUCUUGGGUUGGCUAAAAUUCUGCCAGAAAUGAUAAAGAAUAUCACCUAACUUUCUCUAAAUUGGGCUACAAUUUUUUAAAGUUCUAGUCAACUAGACUAAACUUAUCAAUAUCAAUAUCCCAUGUACUAUUUUAGGAAUAAAAAUUGAUUGUGAAUGGAUUCGUGUAUGGUACAGUUUGUAUACUACUCAUCUUCAUGUUUAGUAUAUAUCGCAAUUAAUUGGGUACUUCUAAUUUUAAUUGUCGAUGGACUAUCCAAAUCAAUGGUGAUGGAUGAGAGUUUUGUUAAAAAAAUAAAUAAAUAAAAUAGCAUAUGUAUUAACUUUUUAUUCCUUUCCAAAUUAAUGGACUGCUUUAGAAUUUACCAUGUUUGGUCUCACCACUUCAAAAUCUCAUCCUAAUUAUAGCGUUUGAAAUUCAAACCAACAUAUCUAACAAAUACGUCAACCAUAUAUAGCACAUGCAAUUUUACAGUUCAAACAAGAUCGAUAACAAUUAUGAGAGGGGAGAAAUGGGUAAGAGAAUUUUCCAUCCAAGAUUUGAUAAUUGGUCUAUUCUUAAUCUAAGUAAAGUUCAUCUUGUCGUGAUAGAAAUAAACUAAAACAAAUAAGUUUUAGCUAAUUGACGCGAAAGGACAUUGGCUAAGUCACGAGAUAAAAGUUAUGCCUGACAUAGCUAUGAGUUCAAACAACGUGAAAAGUCCAAUAAUAGAAAACAAUGACAUUGACUAAGUACCUGUUGCAAUGGGACGCAUCAAACUCUUGUCCAGUUUGGCAGAUUCCUCUCCAUGAUUUUGGAAUGGGCCUCAUUCCUUUAUCGCUAAAGCUCUUCGAUUCUGGCCACACCCCUGAUGACCCCAAAAUAGAAGCAAUGAAAAAACCAAUCAAUCACCCUCCAAUGCAUGAAAUCAUGUCGUCCAUCGAUGAGCAGCACUCCAAGAAAAAGCACAGUAAAACCCUAAUUGAAUCUCCCACGAAACUACAUAGAUGAUAAGACCUAGAAUCACGUGAGAAACAGUAGCGGAGAGAAUCUAACCCAUCAAGAUAAGGACGCAAAAUCAAAUUUACAUUUUGUAGACACUUACCGCUAUCCAGAACCCCAACAAUGACUCCCCUUCCAUGUUUGGCCUUCUGCAAGAGGCCUCCUCUUAUCUUAUGAGGGUUCCAUGAUCCUUUCACUCCUUCCAAACCCAAGAAUUCCCAUGACCUCGUCGUGUGCAUAGAGUACUUCCUCGGGUCGCUCCGAAUCACCGAUACCACUUCAUCGAGCUCUGCCCCACCACAAAUUGCCAUCACGCAGGAAGUUUAAUUACUCGAACUUCGACAGAGUGAGAGAGAGGGAAAAAAAAAACAAAUCUUUGUCAUUGGAGCACCUACCCGAUAGCCUGGAGGCCUCAUCAGGAGUAAGAACAGCGGCGUAGCCAUUGAAGCUGUUCUUGUAGCUGUAAAGAAGAGAAGAUCUUGCUUCUUCGACAUCAAUGGCUUUGAUUGAUGAUAGGUGAGAGAGAUGGUGGUCUUCUAUUUCUCGCUUUGUUUUGCCUCCAUCGUGCUCUCCGAGAUUCACUAUGUAAACCUGACACAUGCAAUACAACCAUUGAGAAUAACCCAAAAAAAAAUAAAAAAUCGCGAGCGAUGGAAUCGGAAAAAAAUCCAAUCUUGGCCAGGAAACAAGUCGGACGUACCUGGCGUUCUGAGCAGAGGGCGAGAAUGGGGAGGUAAAUAACGAACAAAAGACAUAAAAAGUUGUGGUACUUCAUUGUUUAUUCACUAAAUUUCUUUUCUUCCCAGUAGGUAACGAUGUGAGAAGGACGAUGACUGGGUAUUUAUAACUAUAGGAGUCGUCUACGAGGGAGCGGAAAGUGAUUCCGAAAUGGCCGUAGUUGUUGACGCCUCAAUUUUAUUUAAGUUUAUUUUAUCUUAUUAAUUAAGUUUUUAUUUUAUUUAUCUUGUCUAUUUUCGGAAUAAUAAACAAAUAAAAACAAACAAAAAACAAAAGCAAAACAAAAACAAAAAGAAAACAGAAGCAGCAGCCAAGGCCCAGCCCCCUCCCCUUUCACACAGCCCUUAGGCCCACUCUCCUCUUCUUCACCCCUCGGCCCGGCCCCUUUCUCUCUUCUUCUUCUUCCUUCCCUCUCCUUCGCCGCUACAACUCACUCGCGCGAGGGAAGCCGACGCGCGAAGGACGGCCUACGGCUGAGGAGAGUAGGCCGACGUCGGCCGGAGGGGAUAAGACCUCAGGCGCCAUUAAUGCUGAGCAAGCUUCACUGGAAAGCUCGAUGGGACACCGGUUCAGCCAAGCGGAACCGGUGGGCAAGCCGGAGGCCGGCAACCGAGCCCCUCCGUUGACCGGAUUUCCUCCGCCUAUAAAUAGGUGGCCGCAAGCAUCGUCGGAGGGCGUGGCGAGCUCAGAGAUCUUUCACUGAGAGACAUCGGGAAAGAUCGAAGGGCGAGCCUAGGAGAGAACUCGAGUUGCAAGCUCAGCCCGCCCUCCACCGAGAGACUUCGGGGAAGGCCGGCGGCGAGCAACUUCGAGAAGGUCAGAUUCGGCCGGUGGAGGCUCGGAUCUGGCCUAAGUGAGAGAGAAUCGAGGCCGAGGAAGGUCCGACCGAGAUCUGCACCUCAGAUCUGAAGUUUUUUGCUGCUGUUGUUGCCGCCGGACAUUGUGCCGCCGCCGUUCGUCCCGACCAAGUCCCGACGUCGUUGCCUCGAAGGCUUGUUGUCGUGCCACCCCCGUGAAGCUGUUGCCGUGAUCGAUCCACCGACGCCGCGCCAGAUCAGGAAGCUAAGUUGCCGCCAUUGUUGCCGUCGUCGUCCCCGUUCGAGAGAAGGCAAAAAAAAGCAUCGUCAUUACCAUUGCCGUUCAUCGUAGUCGUUUUCCGUUGACCUAGCUGUUGUCGCCAUCGCCGUUGUCGCCUUCGUCAUCGCCGCCGUAGUCGCCGUCGCCGCCAAACACCUCAGUUCCCCCCCCCCCUUGGCGCCGCAGAUUCGCAAACCCUAGGGUUUGCGAUUUUCCGGGUCAUCGAGUCGGAUUUGGGUAGGGUUUCGCGAGAUCUGGGGGUGGCGGAAGUCGGGUCGCGAGCCGGAGCCGGGUCGGGUAGGGUUUCCGCUGGGAGCCGGGUCAUGGAGCGGGUCGUCGGGCCGGGCCGGGUAUCCCCGAACGCUCGGCCACGACGCCGUUUCGAUUAAAAAAAGAAGAAAAAAGACAAAAAAAUCUUAGUCGAGUCCGCAACGCGAGGGCACGCCUCACCCAGGCCGCCUGCUAAGUUGGCAAGAGUUGAGCCUCACCGUUCAUGGGUGAGGUUGGGCCCUUGGGUGAGGCACACCCUCGCCUUUGGCCAGUCUCUGAUCCAAGGACCGGCUAAAGGAAGGAAAGGAAAAGGAAAAAUAAAAGAAAAAAAAUAAUUAAAAAAAAUUAAAAUAUUAUAAAAUUUUGUCCACUUCAGUGCUAAUAGAAUCACAUAGGACUUGAAUUGGUUGGAUGACUUAAAUUGAUACAAAUGCAAAUUGUUUAGGACCUAUAUGUCAAAAAAAAAGAAGGUUUAGGACAGUAUAAUAAUAAUAGGUUUACGACUUUUUUUGUAAUUUUUCCUGGUUAUCGAGUUUUGCACGUCUUAUAUUCGAUAAUAAUGUGAUUGGACGCUUGAUAUUGAACUACUAUAAUCUAACAAUAAUUUGUAAUGAGUGGUCUGUUAGAAUAUGCUUUAAAAAAGGCCAUAGUCUCCUCUCCACAUCUUAUUCAAGAAUAGUAUGGCUUAUCCAUCAAUGCCAUCUAAAGGAGAAGGAGAAGAAGACCUAAGUCCCGGUUAUCAUAUGGUUCCGUUCGUGCAUACAUACAAUGUAAUCGAGGUGAUCAGAAUCAAUCAUAUUUAUUUGCAUCGAAUUCUAAAAACCUAUAUCAUAUCAUGCCAAAAGGGACAAGUUAAUCUUUCUUUAUUCAAGGCAGAUAAUUUUCUCCAAACCACUCGAAUUGUGGAAUGCUUUCCUAGUUUUUCUUAUCUCUACAUUUCUAAUUUCUCCAUUAGAUAAAAUGAGAGAUCAAUUGCAAGCAUUAAAAAAAGAAAUUGGGCAAAGCCUAUGCCAAAGAUAUUGCCAUGGGACUAUUCACGUUGUGAAUACCAUCGUUCCAUCCGUACCAUCCAAAGGCAUAGUCAUCUCCAAGAAUCCUCUUCACCAUGCUAUUUCUCGCUUUGACGGUAAUGGUGAAGCUUCUCUUUUGGCCGAUGCGAUCGAACACCAGCAAACUCGGUCGGAUUGUCACCAAGAACCCUGUCGGUGGUUUGACAUGUGAGAAAUAACAACUGUUGUGUUUUCCGCCUACAUUUGUGACGGUUCUCUUCACUGUGAUCGUCCCGUUGAGUCUACUGAUUUGGAGAGUCGGAUAAUUUAGGUUCCUCGAGACGAUCCGCUCUUUUGGGCACUGGAAGCUUGGGUCCUUGAUCCCGAAGCUACAAAGAUAUGCAGCGUAGUCUGAGUACGAUGCGUCGUACACAAGGCCGGGGUCGGCCACUCUCUGCGGCAUCAGGUGGCCGGCUCCCAAUGCGAAGGGAGUGGCGAGAGUGCCUGCUGCAUCGGUUAUGGG